UAGCGCAGGUUAGCAAAUACCAUUCUUUACGAUGGUUAUAAAUAUUGUCACAAAUAAAUUUGGGAAACAAAAUCCAGAGAAAGCUUGCUCUCAUGAAGAGUGAUAAUUAGACGUGAGAUUAUUCUGGAGUUUCAGCGACGAUUGUUCCAGAUGACAGGAAGCAAGAGUCAAAAUAGUGACGAGUAGACAUGUAUAUGGAGUUGGAGUAUUUGUGACGGUUUCAUGACCGUCCGGGCAACGGCGGCGAACGUCUGAUGCAAUAUGAUCGGAGUUUAACGGCGCCGUUGCCGUCUUAUCAAAGGCAAGUCAUGUUGUGGCUACGAGUUUGACAACUCAGGAACAUGGAUGAAGAUUCCUGAGUUUCUUCGUUUUAAGUUGUCAUUCUCAAUCGUAUUAUAUGAAUCUGUUCAAAGCUUGCAUUUCAUUGAUAUUUAGUAUACUCUCAUUUUAUA